rnacentral:rRNA from 1 species
UACGAAGGGGGGCUAGCGUUGCUCGGAAUCACUGGGCGUAAAGCGCACGUAGGCGGAUUUGUAAGUCAGGGGUGAAAUCCCGGGGCUCAACCUCGGAACUGCCUUUGAUACUGCAAAUCUCGAGUCCGGAAGAGGUGAGUGGAAUUCCUAGUGUAGAGGUGAAAUUCGUAGAUAUUAGGAAGAACACCAGUGGCGAAGGCGGCUCACUGGUCCGGUACUGACGCUGAGGUGCGAAAGCGUGGGGAGCAAACAGG